rnacentral:rRNA from 1 species
UACGAAGGGGGCUAGCGUUGCUCGGAAUCACUGGGCGUAAAGCGCACGUAGGCGGCUUGUUAAGUCAGGGGUGAAAUCCUGGAGCUCAACUCCAGAACUGCCUUUGAUACUGGCGAUCUCGAGUCCGGGAGAGGUGAGUGGAACUGCGAGUGUAGAGGUGAAAUUCGUAGAUAUUCGCAAGAACACCAGUGGCGCAAGCGGCGCUCUGGGUCGCACCUGACACUGAGACGCGAAGGCAUGGGGAGCGAACGGG